UUUAGUUGCCUUUUAGGAGAUUAUAUUAGUAUUUUUAUAACACUGCAUCAUGAAGCUUGGAUUGUGCUUUCAAUGUCACUAGAUGUUACUUUUACUUGUGGAGGAAAGUAAUUGUGUGUUGUUUAUAACAGGUCAAAAAGAAGGAAAAGUAAAAAAAGUGAAGUUUUAUCUUGACAAAAGGUUGGAUAGAUUGCCAGCACAAAUGCCAUGAAAAUUCCAAGAAGAUGCUGACUUAGUAGUCAAUCCAUGCCGCUCUCAGCCAGUUAUACUUGUACUAGAAAUAUCCACCUAAAAAAGAGGGAGAAAAGAGUGUAUGUUGAGAGGAUGACCUAUCUUAUAAAUAGAAGAAAGAGAAAGAAAGGAAGGAGGUAGUUUUUCCUCUCACAUAAUUUUUCGUGGGAGAUCCAGAGAUGCAAAAAAAGUGGGUAGCAGCUAAUGAACAGAGCAACAACACAAGGAAGAAGGAGAAGCAUUCAACCCUGGGCUUUGCAAGAUAUUGUAGCACUGUAGUUGAAAGCUGGAUUGGCAAAAACUUCCUGAAGUUCUUCCUUUAUUAUCUUAAUUGGAUUUUGUGAAUUUUAACUGUGGAAAUAUGUUGUUGAAUGAUACUUUCAUUUUGGAUUUUAAUUCCCAACUCAUGAGCUAAUCUCAUCGAGUUGGGAUUACUGGAUGAAUAUUUA
rnacentral:lncRNA from 1 species